CCCAGACUCCUACGGGAGGCAGCAGUGGGGAAUAUUGCACAAUGGGGGAAACCCUGAUGCAGCAACGCCGCGUGAGUGAAGAAGUAUUUCGGUAUGUAAAGCUCUAUCAGCAGGGAAGAAGAUGACGGUACCUGAGUAAGAAGCCCCGGCUAACUACGUGCCAGCAGCCGCGGUAAUACGUAGGGGGCAAGCGUUAUCCGGAUUUACUGGGUGUAAAGGGAGCGUAGACGGUGAGACAAGUCUGAAGUGAAAGCCCGGGGCUCAACCCCGGGACUGCUUUGGAAACUGCCUGACUGGAGUGCUGGAGAGGCAAGCGGAAUUCCUAGUGUAGCGGUGAAAUGCGUAGAUAUUAGGAAGAACACCAGUGGCGAAGGCGGCCUGCUGGACGAUGACUGACGUUGAGGCUCGAAAGCGUGGGGAGCAAACAGGAUUAGAUACCCUUGUA
rnacentral:rRNA from 1 species